rnacentral:rRNA from 1 species
ACAGGUUAAUAUUCCUGUACUUGGUGUUACUGCGAAGGGGGGACGGAGAAGGCUAGGCUAGCCGAGCGACGGUUGUCUCGGUUUAAGCGUGUAGGGGGGUGUUCCUGGUAAAUCCGGAACGCUGUCAACCCUGAGGCGUGAUGACGAUGCACUACGGUGCAGAAGUAGUUGAUGCCAAGCUUCCAGGAAAAGCCUCUAAGCUCCAGGUAACAUCAAAUCGUACCCCAAACCGACACAGGUGGUCAGGUAGAGAAUACCAAGGCGCUUGAGAGAACUCGGGUGAAGGAACUAGGCAAAAUGGUGCCGUAACUUCGGGAGAAGGCACGCUGGCGCGUAGGUGAAGUCCCUUGCGGAUGGAGCUGAAGCCAGUCGCAGAUACCAGCUGGCUGCAACUGUUUAAUAAAAACACAGCACUGUGCAAACACGAAAGUGGACGUAUACGGUGUGACGCCUGCCCGGUGCCGGAAGGUUAAUUGAUGGGGUUAUCCGUAAGGAGAAGCUCUUGAUCGAAGCCCCGGUAAACGGCGGCCGUAACUAUAACGGUCCUAAGGUAGCGAAAUUCCUUGUCGGGUAAGUUCCGACCUGCACGAAUGGCGUAAUGAUGGCCAGGCUGUCUCCACCCGAGACUCAGUGAAAUUGAACUCGCUGUGAAGAUGCAGUGUACCCGCGGCAAGACGGAAAGACCCCGUGAACCUUUACUAUAGCUUUGCACUGGACUUUGAAUUUGCUUGUGUAGGAUAGGUGGGAGGCUUUGAAGUGGGGACGCCAGUUCUCAUGGAGCCAUCCUUGAAAUACCACCCUGGCAACUUUGAGGUUCUAACUCAGGUCCGUUAUCCGGAUCGAGGACAGUGUAUGGUGGGUAGUUUGACUGGGGCGGUCUCCUCCCAAAGAGUAACGGAGGAGUACGAAGGUGCGCUCAGACCGGUCGGAAAUCGGUCGUAGAGUAUAAAGGCAAAAGCGCGCUUGACUGCGAGACAAACACGUCGAGCAGGUACGAAAGUAGGUCUUAGUGAUCCGGUGGUUCUGUAUGGAAGGGCCAUCGCUCAACGGAUAAAAGGUACUCCGGGGAUAACAGGCUGAUACCGCCCAAGAGUUCAUAUCGACGGCGGUGUUUGGCACCUCGAUGUCGGCUCAUCACAUCCUGGGGCUGAAGCCGGUCCCAAGGGUAUGGCUGUUCGCCAUUUAAAGUGGUACGCGAGCUGGGUUUAGAACGUCGUGAGACAGUUCGGUCCCUAUCUGCCGUGGACGUUUGAGAUUUGAGAGGGGCUGCUCCUAGUACGAGAGGACCGGAGUGGACGAACCUCUGGUGUUCCGGUUGUCACGCCAGUGGCAUUGCCGGGUAGCUAUGUUCGGAAGAGAUAACCGCUGAAAGCAUCUAAGCGGGAAACUUGCCUCAAGAUGAGAUCUCACUGGAGCCUUGAGCUCCCUGAAGGGCCGUCGAAGACUACGACGUUGAUAGGCAGGGUGUGUAAGCGCUGUGAGGCGUUGAGCUAACCAAUACUAAUUGCCCGUGAGGCUUGACCAUAUAACACCCAAGCAAUU